CCGCUUGCCUCGCCCAGCGCAGCCCCGGCCGCUGGGCGCACCCGUCCCGUUCGUCCCCGGACGUUGCUCUCUACCCCGGGAACGUCGAGACUGGAGCGCCCGAACUGAGCCACCUUCGCGGACCCCGAGCGCGGCGGCGCGACUCACCGCGGAGGCGCCCGGACGCGUCAAGUGUCCGAUGGAUCUGAUGGAAAGGUGGCAAGCGAAAUGCACCUGGCCUCAGCAUCAAGGGCCGUGAAUGCAGUGGCAGUCGUAGCUAUGUGGUCGGAGUGGACUAGGAUGGUCCUGCCACCAAGAAGGCUGGGCCUUCCUGCUCCUCAUUGUCCAGCUGCAGAAAGUGAUUGGGCUUGACACAACUGCCCCUUCCUCCACACAUUCCCAAAUACACCUACCCCUCCCCAACCCAAUCCUCCUCACCAGACUGUGGCUCCUGGAUGACAGGGCAGAGUUGGGCUCACCUGUGUCUGCCAGGCCAGCUCACCAUGGGGACAGGUCCCAAGAGGCCUCUGGAUUUGGACCAACUUCAGUGUGACCUUGAACAAGCCCUUAGCCUCCCUCAGCCUCCGUUGCAUGAGGCGUUGUGUUGGUACGUCUCAGAGCAGUUGGCACUACCUGGUGAGCCUGUCCAUCGUCUUUGUCACUGUAAUGCUGGUUAUCAAAUAAACGCGAAACAAUGAGUGGUCAUU